UUUCCUGGAAAGAAAUGAGUCUGCCCUUCAGGGAUAAAGAGUUCCAGGAGCCCUGCCCCCCCAUCCAGUUUCUAGGGAGCCCGAACAGAGGAGAGGGGAACAUGCUGGCUUGAGGACAAGGAGCUGGAGGGAGGCCUGGAGUCCUGGCCUUGGCCCAGCUGAGGAAAGGCCAUUCCCAAAGAGCCCCCAUUGUGCUUCGGGUGGACGGGCAAAACUGCAGGCAGACUCUGAGCAGGCCACGAGCGGUAGGGCGCGUGCCGGAGAGCAGAAGGCAAAUAGCUUCCAGCCCGGGGUCAACAUCUUGUAUACAUUUCCUCAGAUCUGGUGCUCGCCCUGCCGGCCAGGACCUCGGGUACCUGCCUAAACCUUCCUGCUUGAACUGGCUGGACCGUGACCACCUGAUCUGUCAUGUUCCCCUUAUCCUUCCAGUUUGGACUUGACCCAGGGCCCUUGAUCCAAACUGUGAUCACUGCCUAGUCCAUUCUGCCUGCUGGGGACCUUGACCUCAACUAUCCAUGACUUGCUGCUGCUACCCUGACCCAAGUGGGACCUGAAGCUCCUGGGUGCACGAGCUUAACUGCUCACCUGCAUCACAGAACAUCUUUGUCUUUAAGCUCCCAUAGAACAGAGUCUCCUGUCUCCCAUCAGCUUACUGCAGACACUCAGUGUUUGCAUUAUCCUGCCUUGAUCCACCUGCCUGGCCAUUCUGACUCCUCCACUCAAACUGGAGAGAGCUCUAGGAGGAGGCAACGUCAAGGCCACAGGGAGGAAGUACAGCGCUAUGGAAAAUAAGGGCUGUGCCGAGCAUUCAGCAAGCCGUACCGCGUGAUGCACCAGCCUGGUGUCUGGGACAUCAAGUGCUCAACACGAAGGGGCUGUGAAGAUGAGGACACUGAUAAAGAUAUCCCCCAGUUUCGAAGGGCCUCUGGACGUUAUGAGUCCGGCUACCGGAGGAAAACGUAAGAUUGGGAGGCACAGGUUGAAGGCUCUAAGAGGUAUUGCAAUAAACACAUCAUUGUGUUUAACUUGGUGUUUCCAACAUAUUACAGGAUAGAGACACCUCCCCGCUUCCCCCUUUCUUUCUAGGAAUACCGACCCCCAUGCCAUGGGACCCACUUUGGGAAUUGCUGGUCAGAGUUACUUCUCUCAUGAACAGAUAAGGAAGCUAAAGGCUUAGAAAGGAUGUGGGCCCUUGCUCAAGGUCACGUGGCAAAUUCCCGGCAGAGACAGGGCUGGAAGCCAGACCCCCUCCUGACGGUAAUGCUCUCUCCACUCACUCAGCAGGAAGUCGCCCCUGACCACCGACCACGGUGAGUUCUCUGUCCAGAUGCUGCCUCCCAGACAGGCCGCCCACCCCCUCCUCCCUUCUCCAUCCUCUGGAGGAGCGCAGGGAGCACAGCCGCGUGUUCUCCGUCUCCCACGCCAAGCAGAGUCAGGAAGGCAAGCCCUCUGCUGGGAAGAGCCACAUACGAGAAAGAGACUGUGGGGACUACGGACACAUGCAAACGGCUGCCUUGCUACAAGCAGUGGGAGGAAAGGUGCUGUUAUCUAUUUUUUCCUGUUCCUGCUGUGUUCAUGCUGUUUGUACAGUAACAGCCUGAAAAGAAAGAACGUGCCACAAUGCAUUUGAAAGUCGAAAGAUUUGUUUAAAAAUGUGCGUUUGGGAUUCCUGGAGGUGUGUAUCUGCUUGAUAUGGGGGGGGACAGGAGGGCCGGCAUCACUGUCAUCAGCCUCUCCCUGACUCCGUCUCCGUUUCCUGAGAUCACAGGGCAGCAGGAUGAGGUGGAGCACGGGCCCGGGGGUCAAUGACCCCUUCAGAGGAGCACGGCCCUACACUGCCGUGUCAGUGCAAGGUCACUCCAAAGAGAACAGACCUUUUUAGGACACAGAGCAUUCAAGCCCCCGAACUUAUCCUCCUCCUUA